UACAGAGGGGGCAAGCGUUGUUCGGAAUUACUGGGCGUAAAGGGCGCGUAGGCGGCCAACUAAGUCAGACGUGAAAUCCCCAGGCUCAACCUGGGAACUGCGUCUGAUACUGGAUGGCUCGAGUUCGGGAGAGGGAAGUGGAAUUCCAGGUGUAGCGGUGAAAUGCGUAGAUAUCUGGAGGAACACCGGUGGCGAAGGCGGCUUCCUGGACCGACACUGACGCUGAGGCGCGAAAGCCAGGGAAGCAAACGGG
rnacentral:rRNA from 1 species